AAACCAGGACCUCAAGUGGUCAGGAUGAUUAUUGGGCCUAAAGCAUCCGUAGCCGGCUCUGUAAGUUUUCGGUUAAAUCUGUACGCUUAACGUACAGGCUGCCGGGAAUACUGCAGAGCUAGGGAGUGGGAGAGGUAGACGGUACUCGGGAGGAAGGGGUAAAAUCCUUUGAUCUCUCGAUGACCACCUGUGGCGAAGGCGGUCUACCAGAACACGUUCGACGGUGAGGGAUGAAAGCUGGGGGAGCAAACCGGAUUAGAAACCCGGGUAGUCC
rnacentral:rRNA from 1 species